AAGCAGAAAUCACCCGUUUUCUCUUCAAAAAUCCCCCAUUUUACCCCAAAAUCACGCAUUUUCUCCUCAAAAAUCCCCCAUUUAAGGGUAAAUCAUGCAUUUUCUCUUCGAAAAUCCAACAUUUAGCUAAAAAAUCACGCAUUUAAGCGGAAAUCACCCGUUUUCUCUUCAAAAAUCUCCCAUUUAACCCAAAAAUCACCCAUUUUCCCUUCAAAAAUCCCAGAUUUAACUCGAAAAUCACCCAUUUUCCCGACAAAAAUGCCCCAUUUAAGCAAAAAUCACCCAUUUUCUCUUCGAAAAUCCCACAUUGAAGUGAAAAUCACCCCUUUUCUCUUCAAAAAUCCCCCAUUUAAGUGAAAAUCACCCCUUUUCUCUUCGAAAAUCCCCCAUUUUACCCCCAAAUCACACAUUUUCUCCUCGAAAAUCCCCCAUUUUAGGGAAAAUCAUGCACUUUCUCUUCGAACAUCCCCCAUUUAUCCCAAAAAUCACCCAUUUUCUCGACGAAAAUGCCCCAUUUAACCCGAAAAUCAUGCAUUUUCUCCUCGAAAA
rnacentral:lncRNA from 7 species